UGGGGAAUAUUGGACAAUGGGCGAAAGCCUGAUCCAGCCAUGCCGCGUGAGUGAUGAAGGCCCUAGGGUUGUAAAGCUCUUUUGUGCGGGAAGAUAAUGACGGUACCGCAAGAAUAAGCCCCGGCUAACUUCGUGCCAGCAGCCGCGGUAAUACGAAGGGGGCUAGCGUUGCUCGGAAUCACUGGGCGUAAAGGGUGCGUAGGCGGGUUCUUAAGUCAGAGGUGAAAUCCUGGAGCUCAACUCCAGAACUGCCUUUGAUACUGAGAGGCUUGAGUAUGACAGAGGUGAGUGGAACUGCGAGUGUAGAGGUGAAAUUCGUAGAUAUUCGCAAGAACACCAGUGGCGAAGGCGGCUCACUGGGUCAUUACUGACGCUGAGGCACGAAAGCGUGGGGAGCAAACA
rnacentral:rRNA from 1 species